rnacentral:rRNA from 1 species
UGGGGAAUAUUGGACAAUGGGCGAAAGCCUGAUCCAGCCAUGCCGCGUGUGUGAAGAAGGUCUUCGGAUUGUAAAGCACUUUAAGUUGGGAGGAAGGGCCAUUACCUAAUACGUGAUGGUUUUGACGUUACCGACAGAAUAAGCACCGGCUAACUCUGUGCCAGCAGCCGCGGUAAUACAGAGGGUGCAAGCGUUAAUCGGAAUUACUGGGCGUAAAGCGCGCGUAGGUGGUUUGUUAAGUUGGAUGUGAAAUCCCCGGGCUCAACCUGGGAACUGCAUUCAAAACUGACUAGACUAGAGUAUGGUAGAGGGUGGUGGAAUUUCCUGUGUAGCGGUGAAAUGCGUAGAUAUAGGAAGGAACACCAGUGGCGAAGGCGACCACCUGGACUGAUACUGACACUGAGGUGCGAAAGCGUGGGUAGCGAACAGGAUUAGAUACCCAGUAGUCCCUGAGCGGGCUGGCAAGGCG